CUUUACCCGGGAAACGCGGCCGGAGCCGGCGGCGGGUCGGGAGUCCGAGAUGGUAGAUCCCCCUCCAGGCGCCUCGCUGACAUUUUGUCCCGGACGGAAAACCUCCGCGCGUGCCCCUUAAAGACACAGCGCUGCAUUCACACGUCUGCGGGGAAAGGGGGGCCGUCACGUGUGGCCUUCGCCCGAAAGCGGCUGUAGGCGCAUGAUGUCACAAGUUAUUGGAAGAAAUCCCUCCAACCUAGGUUGGGACAGAUGAAGGCGGCGCUUAUUGGUGUUCACCAAAACACCAGCAUGGUGUACCAGCUUUGGCUAGAUGAUGCUCAGGAAAACACAGAUCCUGGUGCCGAACAUGAGGACAGGGCAGGCCGAAGGAGAAAGUGGAAGGAGGGGAGCUUCUCUCUCAGCCUCAUCCUUCUGGGCCUGGAUGCUGGAGAGUCAUGAGGUGCUUCAGAGUACUCUGGGUGAGGAGGGAAAGAUGGUGCCCACCACAUGGAGGCCAGCCUAGGUCUUGUAUGAAACCUGUGAGGAGAUUCUCUCUCCCUUGCUGUCUUUGAAAAAGCAAGUUGCCAUGUGAAGAGGGCCAUAUAGCAUAGGAGCUGAAGGCAGCCUCCAACUGACGGCAAGAAAAUGAGGUCCUCAGUCUGACAACCUGCAAGAAACUGAAUGUUCUAAAAGCCACAUGAGCUUGGGAGCAGAUCUGACCCCAGCCAAAUCUCUGAAGUCCGCAGGCAGGAAAUGAAGAUCAGAAAAAGGCUAUUGUCUCAUGAAUAUGAGCCAGACUCCACAGAAGCUGGAGUCCUUCAUUAUGGAGCUAAACACAUACACCUGGCUUAGGAGUCAGAAAAACUGAAAGAGAAUUCAGGGAAGUAGAGAAAUUGCAAGCCCAGAUGCUGCUUCAUACCAAAGAAGCAAGUCAGCAGGUCAGCAACAAUGUGUAUCAGUUCCAAAAUGACUUACACAGGUACCAAGACAAGACAUUAUAUACACUUAUAUAGUCAAAUACUUUAAAACUGUUAACAAACUUGCUACAAUUGUCUCAUUUGUCUUUUAACCUUAAUAUCACAGAUCAAGUUUGUAAUCUCAAAAGUUCACCCUGGCUGCUGUGUGGAGUAUUCUCUUAUCUGCUCAUAUUACAC
ensembl:lncRNA ZBED3-AS1 ZBED3 antisense RNA 1